rnacentral:rRNA from 1 species
UUGGGUUAGUCCGCAACGAGCGCACCCCCAUCAUUAGUUGCCAUCAGGUAAAGCUGGGAACUCUAGUGAAACUGCCGUCGUAAGACGCGAGGAAGGAGGGGAUGAUGUCAAGUCAUCAUGGCCUUUAUGCCCAGGGCUACACACGUGCUACAAUGGGGAGGACAAAGGGCUGCCACUUGGCAACAAGGCGCUAAUCCCAAAAACCUCCUCUCAGUUCAGAUUGGAGUCUGCAACUCGACUCCAUGAAGCUGGAAUCGCUAGUAAUCGUAGAUCAGCAACGCUACGGUGAAUACGUUCCCGGACCUUGCACACACCGCCCGUCAAGCCAUGGAAGCCGGGUGUACCUAAAGUCGGUAACCGCAAGGAGCCGCCUAGGGUAAAACUGGUGACUGGGGCUAAGUCGUAACAAGGUAACCA